ACUAUAGUAUUAACAAUCUCUUUAUUAGAUAUAAGAGACAAGAAGCCCCAGGUGAACUGGUUACAAUUCUUUUGUCAGCUGCUUAGUAUCUAACACUCAGGUUCUAUCGUCUCUCCAUCCUUUUAUUAUUAGUUGUUACUGAAAGCCUAGUGCCAUUUAGAGGAUGGGUCUCUUGAGUGAUAAAGCCACUGAGCUGGCACUAAAGGAAGGUACUCCUUAAGGGAAAAUCUAAGUCCAGAGAGACAACCGGUAACAGAUAGACUGCCCCUCUGCUCACUUUUCUGUUUCACAGACACAAGGUCUUUUUGUCCCAAGAAAGCCUCCUGGCUUAGCUGUGUGACUAAAUGCUAUUUGCCCUCUUCAGUGGACCUCUAUUCUCAAGAUUCUCUUGUUUUCUCACCAUCCCAUUUGAGAUGCUUGUUAGUAACUGUUACAGGUCUUCUUUACCACCGAGGAAAGACAAAAUCCUACUAGAGGCCAGAAAAAGUGUUCCAGAGAUGGAUGGAAGGCCCUCACUUCUGCCUGCUCUUUUCAGACGCCUAAAGGUAGGGAGUGCCAGGUCUGCCGCCAGGCUCCAAGGGUGGGUCUCUGAGGGGCUAAAAAAUGCCCCACCAAUCUGGCUAAGAUAAAGAAAGGAUAUGAAGAAAAAGUUACAAAAAUUUAAAGGGUUAAGUUAAGUUGCUGAGAGUUAGUACAAGUUACAGAGAAAGAGGUAAAAAGAACAGAAAGCUAAAAAAAAAAGAGACAAAAAGAAGAGGAAGUUAGAGAGAUAAAGAGAGAUAAAAGACGAGAGAGGAACAUAUACUGGCCACAGUAGUUAGGGAACCUAGGAAGAUAGUACCUGGCAACAGAAGAGAAUUCCUGACUAAAGAUCAGUGUGCCUAAUACGAAGAAAAAGGAUAUUGGGUCAGGGACUGCCCCAGAAAGAACAAGAGGGGACACUGGAGAGCCUCUUGGUGCUGGCUAUACACAGAGAUAGAAGGGAAGCCCGCCCAGUUGUUUUGUGGAUACAGGGACCCAAUGCUCUGUGCUCCUAUGCCCCCCUGUGGGCCAAUAUCCAAAGACCUUGAGUGCAAGGAGCUACUGACAACGAACAAUACUUAUGGACUGCCCGAAGAACAGUGGACCUUGGCAUGGGCCGGGUAACCCACUAGUUCAUAGUCAUCCCUGACUGCCCCCAUCCCUUGCUCAUGAGAAAAUUGCUCUCCAAAUUGGCUUGCGUGGGCUGAAAUGGCUGGAUGAGGCCAUGUGUAUACAUAUCUAUAGACUGUGUAUGUGGAGCUUAAGACCUGUCUCAGUACACCAGUAACUGAUGCUGGGAGUUGAAUGGCUUAGUGCUUUUCUGCUUGGAACACAUCACUCCUGCCAGCCGGGCACUGACAAUUAUCACCCAAUCCAAGACUUAAACUGUGAUAGAGUGGCUGAUAGAGUGUCCAAAGAUGGGACCACUGGUCAGCUGCCAUGGACUAGAUUCUCCACCGGUUGGGGACAAUCUGGUCACCUUGCUGCCCAAUCCGGACCUGGAGCCACCACAGCACGAGUGUCAAACACUGACAGAAGCACAUGGGUGGAGGAAAGACCUCUGCGACUGGCUGAUUGACCCCUGCUGAAAGCCGAGGACCUUGUCCACAGAUGGGAACAGUUCUCUUCAUGAAUGAAGGUCAGAGACAAGUGGGUGCUGCCAUGGUGGACAACACAAUGUCAUCUAGAAUGGCUAAACCUCUACCCCCCCCAGCACAUCAGCGCCACAGAUGCCUUUGCCAUCUCUUGGAUGCCCGGAUGAAGCCAACAACUGUGAGUACUAUUCAUUGCCCAGGAAAACAGGAGGGAAGAGAUUCAGUGACAUGGGGCAGUGACAAAACAGAUAAAGUGGCUCGGGAAAUGGCUAUACAGGAGCCUAUCCUGGUUACAGGCCUACAAGAGACAGCCACUGAGAACUAGGAUUAGACUAAGGGAUGGCCUCACUUAGAAAAGGCCCAAAUUGCUUAAAAGAUAAAGGACAAUGGCACACUUGAGGGGAAGCUAUACUCCCCAAAGAACAAACAAAAGACUCACUUUGCCAAAUUAAGAAAUGGACUCAUUUAAGAGAUAAGAAGUUUGUCCAAAUAGUUAAAAUAUAUAUAAUAGACUUUAAGAUUUUAGCCAAGAGAGACAGUAAAAAGUAUAAGAUAUGUCAAUAAAUAAAUGCUUAACAAACAAACAGGACAAAGAGACCUAGAGAGUUUAGUGAAAAGUCGAAGUGAACUUCACUGAGAUAAAACCAAAAAAAUAUAAUCACAAGUAUCUCCUAGUGCUUGUAGAUACUUUUUCAGGAAUAGAUAGAAGCUUUCCUCACCAAACGAGAGACGGCCUCUACAAUCAUCAAGAAGAUACUGAAAGAAAUCUUCCCCAGGUCUGGAAUGCCCAAGGUAAUCUGGUCAGACAACGGUCCUACUUUCGUUGCCAAGGUAAGCCAGGGUGUGGCCAAAUAUUUAGAGGUCGAUUGGAAAUUACAUUAUAUUUACAGACCUCAAAGUUCAAGACAGGUAGAGUAAAUAAACAGAACUCUAAAAGAGACCCUAAACAAAUUGACCAUGGAGACUGGCACAGACUGGGUGACACUCCUUCCCUCUUGCUCUCUUCAGAGCAAGAAAUACCCCUUCCAGAUUCAGCCUUACCCCCUUUGAGAUCUUAUAUGGGGCCUCAGCUCCCCUGACUGUAUUAGAUGAUGUUACUGAACCAACAUGUCAUAGUAAUAAUGAUUUGUGUGCCAGGCUAAAAGACCUACAGGUGAUACAGAAAGAAAUCUGCUCACAGCUGACAGCAGCCUAUGCCCCGGAGACCCCUGAGACAUCCCAUCAGUUCCAGGUCGGAAGCAGCUACACUGAGCCCAGACACUCGAUCCUCGCUGGAAAGGACCAUACCUGGUGCUGCUGACCACCCUGACAGCCGUCAGUUCUCAGCCCUCACCAGCCGUGUACUAGCUGUUAGGGCUGAGAGCUGGGACCUAGAGAGAAAUUCAGUCAUGUUUGUCCUGGGUUCCAUCGAGAUAGCCAUUGUGUCCUACAGAGAGCAUUCCAGGAAACCGGACAGCCCAAGCCUAACCAGAGGUGUUUCAAAUACAAAUGCUCCAUCAGUUUUGACAAACGUUUAAAAAUAAUGAGGACCUGAAGACCCUACCCUUCUCCUGAUUUAGUAGCUCUGUUCCAGGAACCAGGGGGCCAUAAAACCUUCUGGCGUCCCCUUAUCUCCUGGAGCCAUAAAACAAUCCUGUAACUUGUGGUGCAUUCCCCUUUGACAUCCCCCAUCCCCUGGUGCUCACAGCCUCUGCCUUUAAAUACUCUUUUUCCCAGCCUCUCGGGGCCGACACCUCUGUCUCCUGCGCGGGAUAUGUGUCGGCCCGGAGAUCUCUGUAAUAGGUCUCCGUAAUAAACCUCGCCUUUGCUUAUUACAUCCAAAA